rnacentral:rRNA from 1 species
UUGGCGGGCCCACCGGGGCCACCUGGUCGCCGGGGGACGCACGUCUCCGGGCCCGCGCCCGCCGAAGCGCUCUGUGAACCCUGAUGAAGAUGGGCUGUCUGAGUACUGUGAAAAUUGUCAAAACUUUCAACAAUGGAUCUCUUGGUUCCGGCAUCGAUGAAGAACGCAGCGAAAUGCGAUAAGUAAUGUGAAUUGCAGAAUUCCGUGAAUCAUCGAAUCUUUGAACGCACAUUGCGCCCCCUGGCAUUCCGGGGGGCAUGCCUGUCCGAGCGUCAUUUCUGCCCUCAAGCACGGCUUGUGUGUUGGGUGUGGUCCCCCCGGGGACCUGCCCGAAAGGCAGCGGCGACGUCCGUCUGGUCCUCGAGCGUAUGGGGCUCUGUCACUCGCUCGGGAAGGACCUGCGGGGGUUGGUCACCACCAUGUUUUACCACGGAUGACCUCGGAUCAGGUAGGAGUUACCCGCU